UUACAGAAAACCGCAGCCAAAUAACACUAGACCCUACUCAUAGUGUUGUGUUCCUGCCGGUAAGUAAGGUCGGCAACGCGCAUGUAACUCCUCUGGAGUUGCAGGCGUACAUAGGCUACGGAGACUGCUUAACAUCAGGCGGGCCGUAAGCUUGUUUGCCACCGACGUAGUAUAUAUAAAAAAAAAGA